GUAAAAUAUCAUGGGAGAACUAAUGGGUUUAUCCUGUUCUUUGUAAGAGCAUCAUAGAAGCAUUCCCAUCUGUGGCUCUUAACCAUUUGUAAUGUUUUCUAGAGCCAAACGCAAUUUGAGUACGUAUCCAGUGCUCAGAAUCCACGAUUUCUCAUCCUUAGAUCAGCAAAUACUAGACCACUUUACCAUUGAUCACAGAAAUUAGACCCCAUAAAAGAUUACUGUGCUCUAUAUUUCCUUAUAUAAACAUUUGCUGACAAGAAAUUUAAUGUACAAGAUGCAUGAAGCACAAAGGCAUUUCACAAACAAAAUUUGUACAAAGUUGGUAAACAAGAAUGGGGAUAAAAUACUUAGUCAUGCUUGAGCAAUCCCCUUUUUCACCAGCAUAUCAUAAACUUUAUCCACUUUGCUUGGCUCCACUUUGAACAGGAUAUGUGCAUCAGAUUUCUUGCUAACAGUGCCCUUCAUAAUCUCCAAUGACAUUUUCUGAAGCAUGCUGAGAUAAUGUGAAGGUAGUAUUCUCAGCUCACCACAAAGACGUUUCUCCUGUGUGCAAGAAUACCACACAAGAAGUAAAAAAACCUCAAGCUUUGAACACAAUUUGUGCACACAUAUAUUUUAGAUCAAGAAGUUUGGGUGGUGGCGUCCAAAAUUAACUGAGAACUAAAAAUUGUAAGGGCACAGUGGAAAAUAUAAACAUCAUCUGACAACUAAGAGUUAAAGAUUAGAAAAUUCCAAAGAUUAUCCAAUUUCAAGUACAAUCAAUCCUUUUAAUCUUGUAAAUUGUUACCAAACUUGCACGGGCAUUAAACUCUCAAAUUGCUAACGUGGCAUACAUUCAAUUCAAAAAAGAUUCAUACAAAAAUAUGAGAUGGUUGUGUAAGACCCACAGAAAGAAAAAACACUAAUGCUAUAUUUUAAAAUGAUUAAUUAUUUUUAACACAAAUAAAAAUAGGGAAAAUAAAGAUAAUUCGCGUCAUGCUUUCUCUUUAGUUUACCCUUCACUGUUAAAUAUACUGUCAUGAUUUUAAUGAAAAAUAUGUGCCACAUCAGCAUUUUGGAGUUUGGCAUGUCCUUUGAAGUUUAACUGUAAUGGACACUGAUUUAAAACUGUGUAUAUAAUUGACUAAAGAACUAGUUAUCAUUGCAAAUUGGACAAAGGUGGAGUCUUUUGUUGAUUAACCAUAACAAAAUUAUCAAUAAGUUGAAACAGCAUCUUACUGAUUCAGAGAGCAAAUCCGCCCCAAGGAAUCCAGAGAUAUCCCAAUCAUCUAGGGGGCUUGAGAUAUAAGCGGACCCCCUAACAACUCCACAGGGGCUUCCAUCAACAUCUCCUUUAACAUUACUAGGCCUCUGCAACACUUUAGCACCUGGACCAGCUAUUGUACUUUCUUUCACUCUUUGGGCACCUUCAUCAGAUUCCUUCUGUUGCUUCUGCUCGAUAAAUCUAUUCACCUCAGCAGCUGUUUGACAGCCAGCAGCUCGAGCUUCCUGGAGAUCCUGUAUUCUUUUAACAAUCCGAUGUUCCUCAAUAACACACUUCAUCAAUUCUUCAUGCUCUUCUUUUGAGUGGAACCUCAUGAAGACCUUGUAACGUUGAUAUAUUUCUCUCUCUUCACGUGAAAGGGUAUUCUCAAAUGCAUCUGGGUAAAGUAAAUUUCUUUCUAGUAUGAAAUCUUUCCUACGCUUCCUCUCAUCCAGCCUUUUUGAGUAUAUAUGCAGAACUCGUAGUUUCAGCUCACGUUCAGCAUCAGUGUCAGUAUCCUUGAACUCCAUAUCUGCCAACAACUGCUCUGCAUCAUUAUCAUA
rnacentral:misc_RNA from 1 species